rnacentral:lncRNA from 1 species
UACAACUCCACCUGCUCGAGCUAAUCAACCUUAUCAAUAUUAUGGUCGCUCUCAUGGUGACUUGCCUUUUCGGCGUAUCGAUAACUCUUGUUAUCAAUGUGGAAGUACCCAACACCUUAUAAAAGACUGCCCUCAACGACUGAAGGAUGUAGCUUGACCCAUAGCACAAGGUCGAGUGUACUAUUUAGAUGAAUCUGAAGUCCUUCCUACUUCUGUUCUCAUCCAGUGUAUGCUUUCAUUCAUAAUACUCUUACCAAGGCUUUGAUCGAUAUUGGUGCAACUCACUUUUUUAUUUCCUGUGCAUUUGCUUGUAACCUAGUAUUUAGACUAAAAACUUUAGAAAAAACACUAGUAGUGAAAACUCCUUCUAAAGGACCAUUAGAGGCUCAUUGCAUAAAUAAGGACUGUAGGAUAAAGACUUC